GACGAACGCUGGCGGCGUACUUAACACAUGCAAGUCGAACGGAAAGGCCCUGCUUUUGUGGGGUGCUCGAGUGGCGAACGGGUGAGUAACACGUGAGUAACCUGCCCUUGACUUUGGGAUAACUUCAGGAAACUGGGGCUAAUACCGGAUAGGAGCUCCUGCUGCAUGGUGGGGGUUGGAAAGUUUCGGCGGUUGGGGAUGGACUCGCGGCUUAUCAGCUUGUUGGUGGGGUAGUGGCUUACCAAGGCUUUGACGGGUAGCCGGCCUGAGAGGGUGACCGGCCACAUUGGGACUGAGAUACGGCCCAGACUCCUACGGGAGGCAGCAGUGGGGAAUAUUGCACAAUGGGCGGAAGCCGUAUGCAGCAACGCCGCGUGCGAGAUGACGGCCUUCGGGUUGUAAACCGCUUUCGCCUGUGACGAAGCGUGAGUGACGGUAAUGGGUAAAGAAGCACCGGCUAACUACGUG
rnacentral:rRNA from 1 species